rnacentral:rRNA from 1 species
GACGAACGCUGGCGGCGUGCUUAACACAUGCAAGUCGAGCGCUGAAGCCCUUCGGGGUGGAUGAGUGGCGAACGGGUGAGUAACACGUGGGUAAUCUGCCCUGCACUCUGGGAUAAGCCUUGGAAACGGGGUCUAAUACCGGAUAGGACACAUCGCCGCAUGGUGUGUGUGUGGAAAGUUCCGGCGGUGCAGGUUGAGCCCGCGGCCUAUCAGCUUGUUGGUGGGGUGAUGGCCUACCAAGGCGACGACGGGUAGCCGGCCUGAGAGGGUGACCGGCCACACUGGGACUGAGACACGGCCCAGACUCCUACGGGAGGCAGCAGUGGGGAAUCUUGCGCAAUGGGCGAAAGCCUGACGCAGCAACGCCGCGUGGGGGAUGACGGCCUUCGGGUUGUAAACCUCUUUCGACCGGGACGAAGGAUUCGUUUGACGGUACCGGUAGAAGAAGCACCGGCUAACUACGUGCCAGCAGCCGCCGUAAGAC